rnacentral:misc_RNA from 1 species
GGAAGUAAAAGUCGUAACAAAGUCUCCGUAGGUGAACCUGCGGAGGGAUCAUUACAGAGUUCAUGCCCUACCGGGUAGAUCUCCCACCCUAUGUUAUUAUUACUUUGUUGCUUUGGCGGGCCGUUAGACUCCGGCCCGACUACCGGCCCCGGCUGGUAAGCGCCCGCCAGAGGACCCAAAACCCUGAAUAUUAGUGUCGUCUGAGUACUAUAUAAUAGUUAAAACUUUCAACAACGGAUCUCUUGGUUCUG